rnacentral:lncRNA from 11 species
GAGUGCCCCAAUCUUUGCCAUCAAAGAAAGAUCCACAUCCUCUUUCCAAUAUCAGAGCCACAAUGUCAAACAGAGAAGACUGGGGCACUGUGGGGCUGGUGUAGGGAUGAAAGUCUCAAUCUACAGAAGCAGAGACUCAUGGAGAACGUAAGCAACUGAAGAGGAAAAGCUACAGCCUAGAGACCUGAAACAUUAUCUUUGCAGAACAGAGCAGAUAUAACCGUAGGAAGGUAUAUUUGGGAUAUUGAACAUUGAAUACUGGUUUACAUAGAAGAGGAAGAACAUAAAAAUUGAACUAUUGGAUUAAGAGAUAAUAGGACUACAAGGACUAUAUGGAUAAUGAUCUAAAUCACAUGGACUGAAAUCUGGGGACUUUGUAUUUCUAUUUGUUGAACAUUUGGU